rnacentral:rRNA from 1 species
UACGUAGGGUGCAAGCGUUGUCCGGAAUUAUUGGGCGUAAAGAGCUUGUAGGCGGUUUGUCGCGUCUGCUGUGAAAUUUCGGGGCUCAACCCCGAACUUGCAGUGGGUACGGGCAGACUAGAGUGUGGUAGGGGGAGACUGGAAUUCCUGGUGUAGCGGUGGAAUGCGCAGAUAUCAGGAGGAACACCGGUGGCGAAGGCGGGUCUCUGGGCAGUAACUGACGCUGAGGAGCGAAAGCGUGGGGAGCAAACAGG